GAUGAAGAAGUAGCGAAAUGCGAUAAGUAAUGUGAAUUGCAGAAUUCAGUGAAUCAUCGAAUCUUUGAACGCACAUUGCGCCCGCCAGUAUUCUGGCGGGCAUGCCUGUUCGAGCGUCAUUUCAACCAUCAAGCCCCCGGCUUGUGUUGGGGACCUGCGGCUGCCGCAGGCCCUGAAAACCAGUGGCGGGCUCGCUGUCACACCGAGCGUAGUAGAUUUUCAUCUCGCUCAGGGCGUGCUGCGGGUUCCGGCCGUAAAAAGCCUUAUUUACCCAAGGUUGACCUCGGAUCAGGUAGGAAGACCCGCUGAACUUAAGCAUAUCAAUAAGCGGAGGA
rnacentral:misc_RNA from 1 species